rnacentral:lncRNA from 1 species
CGAGUAACUUAAAUGUAUUUGAUAUAUUUGUAUGAGAUACUUUGUAAUUAGGCAUUUAAUUCCUUGUAAAUUUUUCUGUGCCAAUUUUCUGUUACCCGUAUUGCAGACUAACCUUAUCGACUUUAUUGAUUUAUGCGUGUAUGUAUAUACUGUAUAUAUAUCUUAUAUUGAAAUUUUACUAGAAUUGUAUCUUCAUUUUGUAGCUAUAAAACUAGCCGGCAUUAUCAUUAAAAAUUAUUCGUGAAUAAAAUAUGCUCGUGUUAUUAAUUUUUGUAUUGUCUAUACCAGUGAUGGGCAAACUACUGCCCCCGGGCCCGUGCGGCCCGCCACGACGAUAUGUACGGCCCGAGAUCAGUGCACAAGUGUAAGAAUUUUUAAAUUUUGCCACAAAAAUGUUAAUUAUAUAAACAAGCAACAUAAUUAAUUAAUUAAAUUUUAAUU